UACGAAGGGGGCUAGCGUUGCUCGGAAUCACUGGGCGUAAAGCGUGCGUAGGCGGUUUGUUAAGUCUGUUGUGAAAGCCCCGGGCUCAACCUGGGAAUGGCAAUGGAAACUGGCGAGCUAGAGUACGGUAGAGGAGAGUGGAAUUCCCGGUGUAGCAGUGAAAUGCGUAGAGAUCGGGAGGAACAUCAGUUGCGAAGGCGGCUCUCUGGGCCGAUUCUGACACUGAGGAGCGAAAGCGUGGGGAGCGAACAGG
rnacentral:rRNA from 1 species